GGAGUCUUGGCGCAAUGGUAGCGCGUUGGUUUUCGGGUACUACAUACGGUAUAUGCCGGAAAAACACCAAAGGUUGUGGGUUCGAGCCCCAUGGACUUCG